AUCCAGCUGAUGAGUCCCAAAUAGGACGAAACGAAUUUCCUGGAU
rnacentral:hammerhead_ribozyme from 1 species